rnacentral:hammerhead_ribozyme from 1 species
AUUCAACUGACGAAUCCUGACUAGGACGAAACGCACGUCCUUCACAUAACUGAAU